ACGGCUCAGUAACACGUGGACAACCUACCCUGAGGUCGGGGAUAAACCCGGGAAACUGGGUAUAAUACCCGAUAGAUCUAGAUCGCUGGAAUGCUUUUAGGUCUAAAGUUCCGACGCCUCAGGAUGGGUCUGCGGCCUAUCAGGGUAGUAGUGGGUGUAAAGUACCUACUAGCCUACGACGGGUACGGGUUGUGAGAGCAAGAGCCCGGAGAUGGAUUCUGAGACACGAAUCCAGGCCCUACGGGGUGCAGCAGGCGCGAAACCUUUACAAUGCUGGCAACAGCGAUAAGGGGACCUCGAGUGCUACGAUACAAUCGUGGCUGUCUAGUUGCCUAAAAAGCAAUUGAUAGCAAGGGCCGGGCAAGACCGGUGCCAGCCGCCGCGGUAACACCGGCGGCUCGAGUGGUAACCGCUAUUAUUGGGUCUAAAGGGUCUGUAGCCGGCUUAGUUAGUCUCUUGAGAAAUCUGGCCGCUCAACGGUCAGGCGUUCAGGGGAUACUGCUAAAGCUCGAGACCGGGAGAGGUGAGAGGUACUUCAGGGGUAGGGGUGAAAUCUUGUAAUCCUUGAAGGACCACCAGUGGCGAAGGCGUCUCACCAGAACGGAUCUGACGGCAAGGGACGAAAGCUAGGGGCACGAACCGGAUUAGAUACCCGGGUAGUCCCAGCCGUAAACGAUACUCGCUAGGUGUCGGCCACGGUGCGACCGUGGUCGGUGCCGUAGGGAAGCCGUGAAGCGAGCCACCUGGGAAGUACGGCCGCAAGGCUGAAACUUAAAGGAAUUGGCGGGGGAGCAC
rnacentral:rRNA from 1 species